rnacentral:rRNA from 1 species
GCGGGGCAACCUGGCGGCGAGUGGCGAACGGGUGAGUAAUAUAUCGGAACGUACCCUGGAGUGGGGGAUAACGUAGCGAAAGUUACGCUAAUACCGCAUACGAUCUAAGGAUGAAAGUGGGGGAUCGCAAGACCUCAUGCUCCUGGAGCGGCCGAUAUCUGAUUAGCUAGUUGGUAGGGUAAAAGCCUACCAAGGCAUCGAUCAGUAGCUGGUCUGAGAGGACGACCAGCCACACUGGAACUGAGACACGGUCCAGACUCCUACGGGAGGCAGCAGUGGGGAAUUUUGGACAAUGGGCGCAAGCCUGAUCCAGCAAUGCCGCGUGAGUGAAGAAGGCCUUCGGGUUGUAAAGCUCUUUUGUCAGGGAAGAAACGGGUCUUUCUAAUACAGAGGCCUAAUGACGGUACCUGAAGAAUAAGCACCGGCUAACUACGUGCCAGCAGCCGCGGUAAUACGUAGGGUGCAAGCGUUAAUCGGAAUUACUGGGCGUAAAGCGUGCGCAGGCGGUUUUGUAAGUCUGUUGUGAAAUCCCCGGGCUCAACCUGGGAAUGGCAAUGGAGACUGCAAGGCUAGAGUUUGGCAGAGGGGGGUAGAAUUUCACGUGUAGCAAUGAAAUGCGUAGAUAUGUGGAGGAACACCGAU